CCUACGGGAGGCAGCAGUUGGGAAUUUUGCACAAUGGACGAAAGUCUGAUGCAGCAACGCCGCGUGCGGGAUGAAGAUUUUCGGAUUGUAAACCGCUUUUAUUUGGGAGUAACUGUUUGAACGUACCAAAUGAAUAAGCACCGGCUAACUCCGUGCCAGCAGCCGCGGUAAUACGGAGGGUGCAAACGUUGUCCGGAAUUACUGGGCGUAAAGCGCAUGUAGGUGGUCUAAUAAGUGAACGAUUAAAUACCGACGCUUAACGUCGGAAAGGUUAUUCAUACUGUUAGACUCGAGGAAGACAGGGGCAGAUGGAACUUUAAGUGUAGGAGUGAUAUCCGUAGAUAUUUAAAGGAACACCAAUGGCGAAGGCAGUCUGCUGGGUCUUUUCUGACACUGAGAUGCGAAAGUGUGGGGAGCAAACGGGAUUAGAUACCCCGGUAGUCCACACUGUAAACGAUGCUCACUAGGUCUUGGAGGGUAUCGACCCCCUUUUGGACCGAAGCUAACGCGUUAAGCGAGCCGCCUGGGGAGUACGAACGCAAGUUUAAACUCAAAUGAAUUNACGGCUGAGACNGCGAGACGACACGAGGAGAG
rnacentral:rRNA from 1 species